GUGGGGAAUAUUGCACAGUGGGCGCAAGCCUGAUGUAGCAACGCCGCGUGAGGGACGACGGCCUUCGGGUUGUAAACCUCUUUUGGCAGGGAAGAAGCGAAAGUGACGGUACCUGCAGAAAAAGCACCGGCUAACUACGUGCCAGCAGCCGCGGUGAUACGUAGGGUGCAAGCGUUGUCCGGAAUUAUUGGGCGUAAAGAGCUCGUAGGCGGGUUGUCGCGUCUGCUGUGAAAACCCGAGGCUCAACCUCGGGCCUGCAGUGGGUACGGGCAAACUAGAGUGCGGUAGGGGAGAUUGGAAUUCCUGGUGUAGCGGUGGAAUGCGCAGAUAUCAGGAGGAACACCGAUGGCGAAGGCAGAUCUCUGGGCCGUAACUGACGCUGAGGAGCGAAAGCAUGGGGAGCGAACA
rnacentral:rRNA from 1 species